ensembl:miRNA
GAUUGUUAUUAGGUUGGUGCAAAAGUGAUUGUGGUUUCUGCCAUCACUUUCAAUGGUAAAAACUGCAAGUACUUUUGCACCAACCUAACAA